CAAGCGAAUGAUUGACGUCGAUUACACCUGGCCACACCCUACACAAAGACAAGGACAAGGCUGUUUGUGAGACAGGAGGAUCGCAUGAACGUCACAAUUGAAAAGCUUGUUGAGGAAACCGACGCUGGCAGAUGUGUUGGAAUAGAGAUCCGGAAUAAAAGCGCAAAAAUCAUCCUGGAGCACCCUGAAACCUACUGCUCCAGCGGUUACCUGAAAAGUCCUCCAUAACCAUCCGUUCAUCCUGGAGAGACGGGCAUGGCUGUCUUUGUGAAGACCCAAAAUUCACUUCGUGGAAGCGUGGGGGUCCUCAGCUACAAGUUCAACCACAAGCGUUUCUUCCUCUACUUCUCAAACCCCUUUGACUAUGUUCUGUAUAACAACGAGUUUGCAUUGCACAUCGCUGAUGAAUUUGUGCGAACAGACGACAAAUUGUAUGAAAGUCUAACUCUUGGCCAUGCGCCACAGCCUUAUGAAAAGAGGGAUAUCAGGCAUGGGAAUUCAUCUUUGAAACUGAAAGGUGAAGGGGCACAGAUUGCAGCUACAAUGUCUGCAAACGCCAAACCAAUCAUUAAGCUUGAGUUUAGUGAUUAAACUUAUGACCAGGCUAGCUUCAGUUUAGUGAGGAAGCUUUUUAAGAACCAUGCUAGCUUCAGUUUAGUGAGGAAGGUUUUUAAGAACCAUUCUAGCUUCAGUUUAGUGAGGAAGGUUUUUAAGAACCAUGCUAGCUUCAGUUUCUUUUUAGAGCAUUAACGCUAAAAAAACCCUUUUUUAAGCACAAUCACAGAAUUAGGGAUCUUUCUCUUUAGACAAUUGCAUUAGGUUGUAAAAAGUUGCAGCACAGUCCUAGUUUGUUUAUAAUGGGGUUUAUAAUAUGCUGCAUGAUUUAUAUAUGGCCUCAGCUCUAUUACAUGUACACAUGAUUGUCUUUCAAUAAAAAAAAACAUUGCUGAAUAAAAUUGCGUCAUCUGUGUGAUGUCAAAAAAGGUUAUUGUUAUAGAAUUGAAUCUGGUAUAUUUUUCCUGACUCUAAGAUUGAUGCUCAAUAUAGAACUGGUGGAUCCAUUUACUACGUGUUUUCUAAGCAUUCGCAUAUUUUGGAUUAUCUACAACUAUGGGCAAACGUUUAGCAUCACCUAGAAUUUUAGGAUUGAAACCAUUUAGCCAUUUUAUUUAACAUCAUGUAUAUGGGACCAUCUCUUGGUUAUUACAUUGUAACAACCCAGGACUGAUUAGGACAAACAGGUGAUGCAUCUGAAGUUCAUUUGGUAACACUUUAGUUUAAGGAUCCCUUACAAACAAUCAAUAACAACAUGCUAGAACGGAAAUGGAUUCAUCCUAAUAAAGGGCUCCAGCAACAAAGUGUUCUGCAAUACUAAGAAACGUUGCUGUUGAGCAUGACAUGAGAUAGUCUAGUGUAAGGUCAUUCUUAAUAAUCUAUCUCUUAAUAAUCAAUCGAAACCUUUCCUUUACUUGAAGGGGAACCGGUUUUGUUUUCAGGACGUUGUCUCACAGAAGUUGUGGUUUUGCAGAUGUGUGUGUCUGAUCACGUACUUUAAAAACACUUUGAAGAAACCACAACAGUGUUGGUAAGAGGGAACUAUAAGGACGAGCGCGUCAUAGAGAACUACACAACCACAAACCACCGGGUCUUAUUGAGGGACUGAAACAAGGUGCAGAAAGACAUCCUGUCACGUACAGCACUGCCCAAGGCGGAGUCUCGUUGCAGUUUUGUAAGAUUCAUUAUAAAAUGCACAUGUGUUUGCAAUUGUAAAUAAAGUAUUUGAAACGCGUGCUUGUCUCAUACAGCAUGUUGUGCAGCCGAGCUCUAGCAUUGCACACAAAAUCGUGUGUCAGCAAACCGCAAAGACUGCAGAGUAAUUUUCUAUCCUUCAAAACCCGCGUGGACGCUUCAUCUAUUAUUAAAAACCACUUGCUUGCACAAGGAAUCGAACCUUCCUUCUGUAAUUGAUUAGAAAAGAAACGCACAAGCGUUUUCAAUGCAAUGCGGAGAAAUCAAUGCUUCUCAACCUGCGCACAUCAAUCCCACUCAAACAUAGCGGCUGCGAUCUGUAUCCAUUCACCUUUCAUUUUCAAAGAGGAAGUUUCAUGCAAGUUAUCAUCUGUUUGCACAGAUUCAUCAGCGACGUGCAAUGCAAACCCAUUGCUGAACCAAACUCAGUCAAAGGGGUUUGAGAAGUAGAGGAGGAAACGCUUGUUCAACUUGCUGCUGAGCAGCCCCACGCUUCCACGAAGUGAACUCUGGGUCUUUAAAAGAGCCAUGACUGUCUCUCUAGGGUCAAUGUUUGGCUGUGGAAGGGACUUUUCAGGCAACCACUGAAUCAGGAAAAACAACAGAAAACGCUAACAGUAUCAUGUGAAAUAUCUACAUAUUACAAAUUGAAAUCGAGACCAAGACCCAAUUCAUCUUUAACAGAACAAGGGCCCGCGGUAAAGCUGCGCAUGCCAAUAAGGUAUGCAGUUAAAACAUUCAGCAGGAACAGUCAACAGCGCCCUCUACUGGCUACUGAAGGUAUAAAGAAAGGAAAGCUGUCAUGAAACACACACUGCAUUGCAUGGGUCGCAUUAAUUCAACAAAAUAAAACUCAAAACAUACUCAGAAGGCUUUAAAAACUCAAAAUGAAUGACCUCUUAGCUUCUCUGCAUACCGUGUUUGAACAUUUAAACCAGUAAUAUAAUCAAAACUAUUUCAUCGGAAUUCCAAAUUGUCAGCACUGCGGGGCGAUAAUACACUAACAGUGGAAAAUAUGAAUUACUGAGAAGCGGCCAGCACAUUAUCGCACCUUUUCGAUAAAGAGUGGAUUUUAUCACGGUUACGUACAUGUGUAAGCAGAAUGAUUAUGUAUCACUGUAGUGAAAUAAUCGGCGACCUAACUUCAGAAAAGUCCUGU